rnacentral:misc_RNA from 1 species
GAACGGCAUUGAAUGCUUUGAUGAGUCAGAAAUCGCUGCCAUUAAGUCAAGGAAGGAAGAGUUCUCACUCAUACAUUUGGGGGCAAUACUCUUCUCAGUCACCUGCCUUUUCAAAAUUAAAGGAAAUGUUGAAGGGAGGCUCUGUUACCUUGAUGGAAGGUUUGAGGAUGUCAAGCAAGCUAGGCAAUCUAGUUUUAAAUUUAACCUCAAUCGUGGGCAAGCUCACUUUGUAUACUUUCCGGAUUACCCCAUUUCAAUAUCCGACCCAAACCUUGGCAAAGCUAGCCAAUUUCUUUUUGAGUACAGCGGACUCAGCAUGCUCAAAGGUUCGCAUGCUUUCAACAUCAACAUUGGGUACAUUUAUAGAUUCACCAAUCAGGGAGAUGUUGCAAGUUUCUCAAAAAUUGCAAGAGAAAUUCAAUCCCAG